CUCAGAUUAAGAUGCCAAACUGAAGUUUUACUGAUAAUAAUUACUAAGAGCAAUUCACUCAUGUAACCUGGGCAGUUAUUAUGUGUCAAGUAUUGCAACCAAAAGCUAAACAUGAAUUAUCUCAUUUAAUCCUUACAAAGAAAGCCCUGGCUCCCUCUCCUUCCCCAGUCUCUACACAGUAGUAGCCAGAGAGCUCUUUUAAAAUGUAAAUGGAGUUAAGUGCUGCUCUUGAGUGAAGUCCUCCAGGGGCUUCCCAAAGUUGUGAGCUCCGACUGCUCCCCAUGGCCCACAGGCCAGCAGCACCUGGCCUACCUAUUGCCUGUUUACUCCCACCCGCCUGCUUCACUGUCCUCCAACCAAGAGCCCAGUGCUCUGCUUCAUCCACCCUCUAAGACAUUUGCACCUCAGGGCCUUUGCUCGUGUUUCUCCCUCUGCCUGGAACAUCCGGCCUUUGCCUGGCUAAUUUUUUUUUCUUUCUUCAACUUACAUAUCUCCAUCUCAUGGAGACCUUCCUUCAAACCAAUCAAAUCACCCUAUUUUCCUUCAUAACACUUAACAUAAUGUGUGAGUGCUUAUUUUUUGUUUGCUUACUGGGUCAUUUCCCUUCCUGAGCAACAGGAGCCAGCAGGACAGGAACACACCCUCAGGGUUGCUACACACACACACACACACACACACACGUAGAGCUUCCUCAGGACAUGCAGUGCUAUUUGUGAAUCAAUAGAGAAGCACUCUGGCGGGUAGAUACUUUUACUAUCCUCACUUUAUCAAUGAAGAAACUGAGGCGAGGGUUAUUGAAUAACUUGCCAAAGUCCUACAGCUGGAAGGGACGAUGGCUAUUCCGGGUCACCAGUUUUGACUGAAACCAAAAACAACAUGACAAACACAUGUGAUCAUGAAGAAAUGUUAAGACCAAGUAGGUUUCUAUAGAAAAGGAACUUCGAAAAAUUUCCACUUACAGAAGGGUAAUAUUUCCAAAUACAUCAGCGAUGAAUUCAUCAUCUUGCACAACUAUCCAGCCACACAGGUUAACAUUAAAGUAUUCUGUGGCUUCAGAUACAAUGUUUCCUACUAUUUCUGAUUUUUUUUAAGGUUUCAAAGUAUUUGAGGAUUCAGACUAUGUCUCUUCAAAUAGCACAGGCUGACGGGCAUUCCAUCCAGUCAUUUCUGCUCUUACCUAAGGAAACCAGCAGAACUUGGUUUUAUUGCACAAUAGUAGAAGCCAAAUGUAGCCACAAACCCAGAGACCGAUUCUUCUGGUACAGUUGGCCCUCCCUAGGCAUGGGUUCUGUGUUCUUAGAUUCAACCAACCGCAAAUCAAAAAUAUUCAGGGGGAAAAAAAGAAUUCCCGAAAGUUCUAAAAAGCACAAUUUGAAUUUGUUCCCUGCAGACAACAAUUUACAUGGCUUUUACAUGGUAUUAGGUAUUACAACUAAUUACAGAUGAUUUAAAGUUUAAGGGAGGAUGUGUUGGGUUAUAUAUGGAAACAUUUUGUCAUUUUAUAGAAGGGACUUGAGCAUUUGCAGAUACCCUGGGGUUAGUCCCCCCCUCAGAAUCCAAGGGGUGACUGUACUUCUGAAUCUUUGAAUUAAUCAUAAUAGAACAGGAGAGAAGAGGGCAGGGCACAACCUUUAACGAAUGACAGAGCCAUUGAGGACAAGACAUAAACUGGUUGGAACCAAGUAGGUCCAAGUUGGGGGAUGGCAGGACUUCCAGUGGACUCAAGUCUCACUGUACCCUCACUGUAAUAUAUUAGCAUAGGCUACAUGACACACCUACAGGUGCCAGGACAGCUCCAAGACCAACCAUAAAAGACCAAAAAGUGGGCAGUGACCCUAUUCCUGGAAAUCUCCAGCCCUUUUCCAAAUGGUUGGAAUAAUCCUCCCAUGCAUUAGCUCUGAAGUUACCCAGCCCAUGAAAACCAACCACCCCAGAUUUGGGGGCCACUCUCUUGCCUUUGGAAACAGAGCACGUUCUGUCUAUGGAACGUGUACCUCCCAGGCUGCUCUCACCUUCUGAGAUGAUCCACACUCUCUCUCUCACUAAAUCCACUUCUUACCUAUCAUGUUGCCUUUCACUGAAUUCCUUCUGCUCUGAGACAUAAAGAAUCUGAACUUCAGUAAGUCCUGGCAUUUCAAUUAAAAGAGAGUGGGUUCAAGUCCUAAUCCGAGUUGUAGGGUUUCCAUAAGAAGUCCUCAAAAACAAAAACAAAGCCGCCACCUAAGAGAAUGGCGAAAUUCAAAAAGAGGAGGGGCUUGUUUUUAAUCCUUAAAUAGCUGAGUCCCUUCAAAAUUAAGAAGUCACUGUUUCCCCAGACAGUAGGCCAACAGAAAGAAGGACAUGUCCUUGGACCUAUCUUUCUGUGGCUGUCACAGCUGAGACAAAGCUGCGGGCCCUGCUGAGGAAGUGCAGCAGGGCUCUGGCACUGGCUGUGCCCUGCACAUGCAGCACCCCCCUUCAGAGAGCCAAGGUCUCUGUUUCCUUCCAGCAGGAACCAUAGAUGCUUCGUAGGAAAAUACAGGAAUUCGAUGCACAUGAAGCAAAAUACAACUAGCUCAGGGAGAGGGGGAGAGUUUUCCUGAAAUCCAUGAGUUUCCCUGGUUUCACAUGACACCGUGUAGGGUUUAUAAUUCACGUACCACAGGAGGCUGAACAUUGUCAUUUCCUGCCCCCUCCAAUGGUGGUUUUCCAGUGAGGAGAACAUUGUGACUAACCAGUGCUGUUUUUUUUUUUACUCUGAGUCUUCAUGUUUGUGAAACAAAGCUGGCUUAUACUUGCAGGGGGAGGGGCUGAGGAGGUGGGCUGCAGAGAAGCAACCUGGAGCUGGUCUUAUUAUCAAUCAUCUCCGCCGGUUGUGAGAGUUUUGACAAGAAAAACCUACCCACACAGACGGGCACUGCUGUGCAUUUACAGCAUGUUACUUAGAGCAUUUAUGAGACAUCAUCUAACGUUCUAUCAGAUGAGUCUUUCAAUAUAAAUAUUCAGGCCGACUGAGAUUGUUUGAACUUUGUAACAUCCGAACUUGAUUAUGAAACAGGCAAGAGAGACUCUAUGCAUAUUUUCACUGGUUCACUUAGUCUUUCAUAUGUUGAAGGGUGUAUGCGUGUGCUUGUGUGUGUGUGUGUUAGGGGUGGAAUUUUCAAAUCUGGAGCUUCUAUGUAACAUGUAUUUGCUGUGGUGCUUGCAUGACGCUGAUGUUCAGCAGAGGUCGGCUAAGCGAACCUGUAGUUUGCUCGGGUUUCAUCACCAGUGAUUUCUUCUCUUGGGUAUGGUGGUUGUAAAACACUGCUGUGCGUGAAGGCCACGGGGGCCCUCACUCAGCCCUUCAGGAAGGCCGCCUGUGAUCCGAGGAACCUGCUGUUUGAGGUGCAGUCAGCUGUCAGAGGAAAUGGCUCUCAGGGACGGUCAGUGAACAGGCAGCUUCCAGAGCUAAGAAGCCCAGUCCUGAGGAGGGAGGGCCCACACUCUCAGGAAGGUAAUAUCAUGUCACCAGAGGCGACCUUGAGUCCCUCGCACCGAGUGGAUGCAGGCAGAGAAGGCUGUUACGGAGCUGAAAUGAUCAGCACAUACAUGAUCCGGACUUUCAGAUCCAGAAAUUGUCGCUCUCUCUCCAGCACUGCCCAGAGGGGAAGGGGAGAGGAUGACUUGACCAAUGAGUCAUAUUACUCUGUGCUCUGGGACAGACUCCCAACAACGGAGACGCAGGCAGGAAGCCUCAUGUUGUAUGUACCCUUGACCAGGUGGUCGCUGUAUUUUGCAUGAAGUAUGAAUUAACUAGACUUACGGCUGAUACGUCAGUUUCGUAUGGGUUUUGGUUAAGCAAGAGGCAGUUCUAAGCCAACCACUCCUGGUGCUGUAACUCAUCAUUUCUUGCCCUGAGAAGCCCAGGACCAGUCUGGGGGCUCAUCAGGGCAGUACCCCUGGGAACCCAGCCUGCCCAGCUAACUAGCCCCCUCAGUGACACAUCCAGUGUCUCUCUGACUGCAUCCAGAGCCUGUGGAGGGCAAGUGCCCAUCUCAUUACAACACUUGAGUUCAGAGUUGUGACACCAACAUCUGAUACAUCUCAUGUGAUUCAUAACUAUUCAUCAAAAAGCAGUUAUGCUUCAGCUGGUCUUAAAAAGAGACACUCCCAAAGUCCCUCCAGGAAUAAACGUUUGAAGGAGAACCUUCCUGAAUGGACAAAACUAUUUCCAGUGGAGCAAGAAACCUGGAAUCUUGUCUAAGAAAAUGAAAAGAAGUUCCACGUACAUUCACCUUAGAAGGCCCCUUGAUCUGUAACACCAGCCAGCUUCAUCAUCUCGCUGAUCACCCCAGGAAAGGAACCACCUGCAGGCUGCCUGGUGGCUCGGAGGUGUCCUGAGUGACCAUACUGCUUCCUACCGGCGCUCUGGGCUGGAUGCUGACAAAGCCAGAUGGGUAACUUUCAGGGAACUGGCAGUGUGAGAUGUUAAAAAAGAUGCAACCACAGUGGUGUGAGAAAGGAUGGAAGGAGAACCAGGGGAGAAGGCGAGCAGGAGGCGUGCAUGUGUUGAAGCCUCGAGUGAGUGGCGUCUGAGGGGGAGGGGCAGGGAGACCGGGUGGUAGUGGCAGGAGAGGCGAAGGGGUGAAAGGGGUGAAGGGAUGGGAGGUGGAGAGGCCAACGUGGGCUGUGUCGGCAGGAGCACCCGUGUCCUUUCUUCAGGCGGCAGCAGCAUGACCACCCUGGGAACACCUCCCUGGCUUGGUUUUGAGGAGUGGCCAGUCCCCAGCUCUGGCUCCAGCUCCAGCUCCAGGACUGACUGACCACAGCAUUGCAUCCUCCGGCUGCAGGGGAGGGUUCCAAACCAGGUCAGCGAUGCCAGUGGAACUGGCUUCCAGAACUGUUACUGUGAACUGCAAAGAAGUGUUCUUUUUUGCUGCCCUUAUGAAGCUAAGCUUGCCAGGAGCCGCCAUCUGAAGAAGUCAGCCCACAGAAGGGGCAGCCUGGAGAAAAGCAGAGCCAGGCUGCGGGGAGGAAGCCAGGCCUACCUCUCCCCAACAGUGGGUGCGGAGCCCACAGGGCACACACCGCUGGACACCCACUUCUCAGGACAGUGGCGUAGCUGUGUUGAAAGGACCAGCCCUCAUUCUUUCUAGUAUAUACUACGCAAACCUGAACCACGCUUGCUGAAAGGAGACACUUGGAACGCAGUGGCUUCUUAGCAGGUGACAGUUAUUUUGUCAGGACAUGACAAGCGCCUAUCAUCCGGGGGAGGUCCAGCUCUCACUCUCAGGACAAAGUCACAGAUUUCCAAAAGGACCCUGGAAAGGCCUCAGGAAGUUGCCACCCGGGAGAGUGUUUCUCCAAGGCCCUGCGUGUCCAGACUCCCCUCAUGGCAGGACAGACCUCAGCUCCCUCGGGGUUUACGUGAGGGCGCUUGUGGAGAAUCCAUCUCUAAUGCCACAGUCGUGGAGAUCAGGCCACAUGGGCACAUGGCAGCUGAGCCCCUGUGAGAGAAGGACAGGCUUCAGCCACCACCUUGGCCUUCGAGGGCUGUAGCUCACGGACAGAGAGAGUAUGACCUGGCUGUUACAUGUUAUCCUGCACUGUGCCCACCCCCACCCCUCAUUCCCCCACCUCUUUUUUUUUCCUUUGUGACCUUUAUUGCUAAAUUCAUUAAGGCACGUGCGCAUCUGGGCAGUUCUGCUGUAUUACCAUCCACUCCCGCUAAGUUAUCACCAUCUAAUCACACCCUGUGUGGAUCAGCACCCCAAUAUCAACUGCCAGGUCGGUCCAUGUGGAGAACACUUUGACAUCUGGAUUGUCUUUUCCCUAGCAUGUGGCGAAAGCUCAAGGGGGCAUUUUCAGAAAGUAUACUCUGUGGUAGUUCUAAAAUAGUCCUUGGAAAACUAUAUGGAGAUGCCUCAAAAAAUUAAAAACAGAACUAGUAAUUAGGAUCCAAAAAUAACGAGCCAGUAAUUCCACUCCUGGGUAUUAUCCAAAGAAAAAGAAAACACUAAUUCGAAAAGAUAUCUGCACCCCUAUGUUCACUGCAGCAUUACUUACAACAGCCAAGAUAGGAAAACAAUCUAAUACCCCUCGAUAGAUGACGUGGCGUGCGUGCGUGUAUGCGUGUAUGCGUGGCGUGGUGUGUAUGUGGAGAGAGAAAGAGAGAGGAAGUGGAAUAUGACUCAGCCACAAAAAAGAAUGAAAUCUUGUGAUUUGUGACAACAUGGAUGGACCUAGAGGGUAAAUUACACCUGAGUAAUUACACCUAAAUGCUAAAUUUUAAGAUAAAUCAGUCAGUCCUAUAGGUGUAAUGUCCAACAUGAUAAAGAUAAUGAAUGUCACUGUAUGUCAUGCAUGAAAGUUGUUAAGAGAGUUAUCAUAUAUCAUAAAAUAUGUAUUUUUUCCCUGUUUCUUUCAUGCUGUAUCUGUAUGAGAUGAUGGAUGUUCACUCAAGCUAUAGCCAUCUUUUCAUGACAUAUGCAAGUCAACUCAUUACGCUAUACACAUUAAACUUACAUGGGGCUGUGUGUCAAUUAUCUCUCAAUAAAACUGGAAGAAAAAUACAA